AUGCAGGUGAAAGACAAAACCAUCUUCUCAAGCUCACAGGCUGUUCCAACCUCAAAAAUGAUAUUCAAGUCCGAGCCCUCAACAAGAAGGCACUUGAGGCAUCUGAAUUCGCCCUCCUUGAAGUUGAGCAUGGUCCUGGUGCAUGUAAUGUGUUGGAGCCUGACACAUCGUAACUUGGGCAGCUUGGCAAGGGCUUCCAGAUCAUCUUGGCUUAGCUGGGUGCAACUUAGAGUUACCUUGGCAAGUUUGUUGUUAUCACCUUUUGUGAACAAUGGAAGAAGACGUCCCUUCUGUGUGGUUCCCCUGAUGCUUAAACUCUCAAGCAUCUUGGGAUGGUUUUUUAAGAGAGAGGCAAUGCCAUCUGGUAACUCUUCGCUUGAUGUGGCUACCAGAACACUAGCAGUAAUUGUCAGAGAACAGAGGGACUCAUGUAGGCCACUGAUUGUAUGA
rnacentral:rRNA from 1 species